CCUGCCCCUAGAGGUGUUGCAGGUGUAGCUGCUGUGUCACAUGUGUGUCAGUAGGGAAGUGAGAAGAGAGGCUACAUCUAAGCUCAGUGCUCUGACUUAUGAACAUCUGAAUGAUUAGAAAUCUAGCAUU